UCUCUUUUUCUCUCUUGAAUUCGGCAGCCUCCAAACACUAUCAUCCUCACUUUUUCAUCCAUUUAAACACCUUAAAUUACACCAUAGUUAGUCAUUUUAAAUUUGGUUAUGGAACUAGCAUGCAUGGAAAAUCAUUAGGGCAAACUUUGGAGCUUUUAUCUUCUCUUAAUCUUCAUCUAAACCUUGUGCAAAGUGGUUAUUACGCGCAAAUUGGAUACCCGACUUGCUAGCAUACAUACGGACGCAAAUUCGUAACUAAGUGGAUCUUAGUGCAACGAAUUAUGAAGUUUCAAGUUUACUAUGAAGACGAUGUCAUCCGUAUUUUGGAGGGUUUGAUCCAUAUAUCCCGUCUUCGAACGGGACAUAGGAUGCAAAACCUCGUUAUUUCAAAAACUUU